CCUAUCUCUCAUUCUCUCCCUUUCACACACUCUCUCCUCUCUUUCUCUCUCUAGAAGACAAGAAGGAGAAGAAGAAAAGAAAGGAAAGAAAGGGAAAAGAAGAAGAAGGAGAAGGAGUAGAAGGUGAAGGUGUAAUAUACUGAAUCUUGAGCCUCUUGGUAAGUUCGAGGGUUGAAUCGGCUUUUGGAACUGGUCUACGACUUUUGCAAGACUAUUGAAAGGUUUUUGAUAAGUUACUAGAGUAAGUAAGUAACUAGAAAUGGAAAAGUGCAUCGCAAAUG
rnacentral:lncRNA from 1 species